CAGUCGCCGCGGGAAUACGGAGGGUGCAAGCGUUAAUCGGAAUUACUGGGCGUAAAGCGUGCGUAGGCGGCUUUUUAAGUCGGAUGUGAAAUCCCUGAGCUUAACUUAGGAAUUGCAUUCGAUACUGGGAAGCUAGAGUAUGGGAGAGGAUGGUAGAAUUCCAGGUGUAGCGGUGAAAUGCGUAGAGAUCUGGAGGAAUACCGAUGGCGAAGGCAGCCAUCUGGCCUAAUACUGACGCUGAGGUACGAAAGCAUGGGGAGCAAACAGGAUUAGAUACCCCCGUAGUCCCUGUCUCUUAUAA
rnacentral:rRNA from 1 species